rnacentral:rRNA from 1 species
UACGUAGGGGGCGAGCGUUGUCCGGAGUUACUGGGCGUAAAGGGCAUGCAGGCGGUCGGACGCGUUUCGGGUGACAGCAGGUGGCUUAACUACCCGAGUGGUCGAAAGACGGUUUGACUUGAGGACGCGAGAGGGACACGGAAUUCCGGGUGGAGUGGUGAAAUGCGUAGAGAUCCGGAGGAACACCGAAGGCGAAGGCAGUGUCCUGGCGCGUAACUGACGCUGAGACGCGAAAGCGUGGGGAGCGAACAGG